rnacentral:rRNA from 1 species
UACAGAGACUGCAAGCGUUAUUCGGAUUCACUGGGCGUAAAGGGUGCGCAGGCGGCCAAGUGUGUGAGGCGUGAAAGCCCGGGGCUUAACCCCGGAAUUGCACCUCAAACUACUUGGCUAGAGCAUUGGAGAGGGUAGCAGAGUUCAUGGUGUAGCAGUGAAAUGCGUAGAUAUCAUGAGGAAUACCAGAGGCGAAGGCGGCUACCUGGACAAUUGCUGACGCUCAGGCACGAAAGCGUGGGGAGCAAAAGGG